rnacentral:rRNA from 1 species
CCCUUAGAUGUUCUGGGCUGCACGCGUGCUACACUGAUAUUGCCAAUAUGUCAUUCUUAUCCGAAAUGGAUUGGGUAAUCAAGUAAUGAAAUUUCAUGCUUGGAAUCGGUAAUUGCAAUUUUAUCGUGAACGAGGAAUUCCUAGUAAGCACUAGUCAUCAGCUAAUGUUGAUUAUGUCCCUGCCCUUUGUACACACCGCCCGUCGCUCCUACCGAUUGGGUGUGCUGGUGAAAUGUUCGGAUCGGCCGUUUGUCGCGGUUUCCGCGUCAUGUGGCUGAGAAGUUCAUUAAACCCUCCCACCUAGAGGAAGGAGAAGUCGUAACA